UCGACAGAUUCAUCGAUUGUGAAAAUAAUCGUUAGUUAUUGAUAAUUGAUAUUGAUAUCAUCGGUUAAAAUACCCCUGGUGUUAUCUGAAAUGAUUCAUUGAAUAUACAGUGUUAUUAUACAGUAUUAGACCACCACCCAAAGCCACAGCUGCUGUUAAAAUCCCAGGUCUCCUCCUCACCUGCCUCGUCACUGCCACACCUACCUGGACCACGCCCCUAACCCUAUAUAACCCGCCCCUUCCUCCCUUUGACCCCCGUUUUUCUUCCCUCCAAACAAAUCCAGGAGAACAAAGGAACACUGCUAUUCCUGUGUUUAACCCUCUGCCUAAGAGAGGAAAGUAAGAGUGGAUGCAUUACUGAUACAAAAUCAUCCACCAUUACCCCUCAUCACCUGUUUACAAAUAAAAUAUUGGAACUUGGAAAGCUGCCUGGAUCCUGUGUCUAAAUGUGCACCCAACGUAUGAUGU